AUAUUAUUCAGGAACAUUUACUAAUACAGAAAUAAGAUGGGAAAUAAAUAGGAAAGAAUUAUAUUCAGUAUAUAAAUGUUUACUAUCAUUUGAACCAUAUAUUGUAUAUAACAAAUUUAUUAUAAGGACCGAUAAUACACAAGUAAAAUACAAGAUUCGGUAACUACGAAAGAAAUGAGAAGAUUGGUAUUAAAUAUAUUAAAUUUUACAUUUACUAUUGAAGUGAUAAAAACUGACAAGAAUGUUAUUGCAGAUUACUUAUCAAGACAAAGCUACACAGACUGAAAAAGAAAAUACUAUAGAAGAAAUACUCAAAGCUAUGAACCUACUUUGCACAAAAGUAGAAAAUAUUGACAAAGAGCUACAACUAAUACGAAGUCAGCAGCAUGACUAUAAAAUUGCGGAGCUAAGUCGAUCGAAAGACUUUAAAAAUCCAGAUCUAAAAGGUGACGUUGGGAAACACCUUAAAACCCAUAAUGUUUGUUUAAAUACAGCUGCAGGUACGAGCAAACAAGUUAGUGAAAAACAACAUAAGAAUACAAACUUAAACCAGCUAUUUGAAAAACCAUUUACUCCGAGAACACCAAAAAACACAUUGGCUAUGGAACCCCAAACCUCAACCUAUGCAGAUAGCCUACAAAACGAGAAAAACUUAUAUCAUGUUACGAGAACCUAUAGAGAGAUAAGUGGAAUACCAGAGUUACACAAAGCAUUAGUCACAUAUAAAAGAAUUACCAAAGGAAAUUUAUUUUAUAUAAAAUUUUAUACAGCACCAGCGGAGAUAUUAUACGAGGAGACAAAACCUCCAAUUCAAGUAUUAAGAUAGGAUUAACCAAAGAUAUGAUUAUACCUGAUGAUAUCAGACAACAAGAAGAAAUACAAAAAAUAGAGAUACCAUGUUUUAUGCCAAUAAAAGAAUAAUUGGUAUAUCAACUAUUAUACAAGAGUUAGCAAACAAUUAUUUGAACGGAAAUGCUAUAUGGAGUUAUUACUCUGGAGACCAGCUAAUGAUAUAUUCAAAUUCAAGAGAACUAAGGAAAGUAGAUAUGGAUGAAGUCCAGCGAUGAAUUUUAUCAUUAUUAAAACCAGAAGAAACACCUACGACAAGAGCACUCAAAGCAGGAUUUAUUUCGCCAGAACUAUUAACCAGAUAUUGCAAGCUAAUUGGACACAAAUACUCGGAUCAUCUAUGUUCAAAAUGUAAUCGAGAAGAAAACGUGAUUCCCAAUGUCCAGCUAGAAUAAAGUCAAGACAAAGAAGAUAGGGACAAAGAAGAUAAAGACAACUAAAGAGAUAAGGCAAAGAAGAUAUAUUUGGCCAAAAACGCCAAAAGCAAAUAGUGAAUAGUACUAUUAUUGUAAAUUAUUAGUCUUAUUGUAAGAAAGUGUAGUGUAAAUUAGUCAACAAUGUAGGAUGCAUAUUAAAAGUAGUAGGUAUGGUGUGUAGGGACAAGUGUAAAGAAGGUAGGUGUGGCAGUGUAAAAAAGUCAUAAAGUAAAUAGUACUACGUAAGAUAGUCAAGAAGUAGUGCAUUAUUGUGCAUUAUUGUACAUUAAUAUAAAGAUAGGAUNNNNNNNNNNNNNNNNNNNNNNNNNNNNNNNNNNNNNNNNNNNNNNNNNNNNNNNNNNNNNNNNNNNNNNNNNNNNNNNNNNNNNNNNNNNNNNNNNNNNNNNNNNNNNNNNNNNNNNNNNNNNNNNNNNNNNNNNNNNNNNNNNNNNNNNNNNNNNNNNNNNNNNNNNNNNNNNNNNNNNNNNNNNNNNNNNNNNNNNNNNNNNNNNNNNNNNNNNNNNNNNNNNNNNNNNNNNNNNNNNNNNNNNNNNNNNNNNNNNNNNNNNNNNNNNNNNNNNNNNNNNNNNNNNNNNNNNNNNNNNNNNNNNNNNNNNNNNNNNNNNNNNNNNNNNNNNNNNNNNNNNNNNNNNNNNNNNNNNNNNNNNNNNNNNNNNNNNNNNNNNNNNNNNNNNNNNNNNNNNNNNNNNNNNNNNNNNNNNNNNNNNNNNNNNNNNNNNNNNNNNNNNNNNNNNNNNNNNNNNNNNNNNNNNNNNNNNNNNNNNNNNNNNNNNNNNNNNNNNNNNNNNNNNNNNNNNNNNNNNNNNNNNNNNNNNNNNNNNNNNNNCAUGAUGAAAUGAUAAAAAACUAUGAAACUUUAAUCUUAUAUAUACUUAAAGGUAUAGAAAUAAUUGAAUUAAGACGAAUAAUAUGGGAAAAAAUAUUUAAUGAUAACGAAUCAGAAGAUAUAUUAAACCAACAAUGGUACGAAAUCGACCUACAUGAUUUAGAAUUCGAAAGAAUAGAAUGGUAUGAUUUAGAAAUAAAAUCAGAUUAAAAUAAACUACGAAUAUUUAUGAUAUUGGACAGAAUCUAUGGAAGAUAUAAAACUAUUAGAAGAAUUAAUGGAGGAAAAUUUAUAUAUGUAUCUAAUAACCCAAGAUAUGUUAUAUCUAAAAUAUAUCAUAAAUAAUAUUAAAGAGAUAUCAAGAUUAAGACACUUAGCAAAAGAAUAUUAUAAUAAAAUAUUUAGCCAAACAUAAAAUGAAUUCCUCACCUACCAAAAAUGGUACACCUACCAAAAUAUCAAAAAUACCAUGAAUUCUUCACCUACCACACUACCUACCACACUACCAAAAAUGUCAUGAACUCCGUGAAUUCCGCACCACCGAAAAAUGGAAUCACUUGUACUCUUGUUACCUGCUGGUAUAUCUAAAAAUUUAUAUUGGUACCUUGGACACUCCAUGCCACUUUGUAUUGUUGUGUCGGUAUCCUUUGGGACUUGCAAGACACUUGUUUAACUCGCCCACUAGUACAGAUUGCCCGAUCACUUGGCAUUCUACUGGAGACUUUGUCCUUCUUGUGGAUGUGACUUUGUCACUAUUGGAAUGCCUAUUGAUUCAGAUCUUGUUCCAUCUUGACUCUGGAUAUUUGGUUCGUCUUAAGUAUAGAAGUUGUCCAUUUUAAGUACGAACUAGAAAGCCAUUUUUAAUAUGGUUCUUGGUUCUCUAGAUUAUUGGAUUUUGACCCUUCUUGAUACAGGGCUUCGGUCCUUCUCGGUACUUGACUAUCCUUGGUGUGACGACUUCAUGUACAAAUUGGGCGCAACCUGUUAUUUGACCCGUUGUAAACUAUUCUCGAGUUUGUUGACACUUGAGUCUUUAAAUAAUAAAAGUCAUUCCUAAUAUGGUUCUUGAUUAUGGGGUUUUGUCCCUUCUUGAUACAUGGCUUCAGUCCUUCUAGAUUUGUGAUUACCUUGAAGUAAUACAUACCUGGUGCAAUAUGUUCUUUGGCCUUUUUCGAAAUAACGUUAUGAGCUUUCUUGAUGCUUGAGACUUUAAACAUAUGAGUUGAUACCUUUAAGGAAUUCGUUUACUAGAUGAAUGGAGAGCUUAUAGGGGCUCGGCAAUAUUGUUGUUUGAUUAUUAUUGUAGAAUUUGUUCCGGGAGACAUUAUAUUUUAUUGUGAUCAUUGCUAAUUCUCAUUCUUGAGUACGCUCUGGGUUUUAUAAUAACUACCAGCUUGCUCGAUUAACUAUUAAUUAGUUAUGGUUUAAGGUCUACUACAUGAGAAGGUGAGUACUUUCAGGUUAAAUUUGAUUCUCCACUCGAUUAUUUACAGUUCUUUAAGAUAUCAUGUCAGUUAUUCAUAGAUUCUUGAGCUGGUAAGCAUGUUUAUUUUAUCCUUAAACCUUAUCUGUAUUUGCACUCGUUAAUUCAUGAUACCGACUCAGUUACUAUUUUCUUUGCAUUAUCGAUACAUUAUUUUGUACUAAUGUCUCAAUUUAUUUGGGGACACUACAUUCAUGCAUGCAGGUCAUUAGGUACACAUAAGUCCUUAUUCCAUGUGGUCGAGUGAUCACCUGAUGAUUGUAUGCUCCGCUCUUUUCGGAUUUGCUGAUUUUGGAGUUCUUUUCUUCGUUAUAUAACUAAUGGGUACGUUGGGGUCUUGUCCCGACUUGUUGUUAGUGGUUCUUAAUUUUACAUGCUUGUAGACAUUUAUGGUGGGUAUGUCAGUCGGUUGUGGCUUUGCUGUCAGUCAUAUUCAUAUUUUUUUCGCCUUACCAUCCUUGGGUAAAUAGUGUUUGAUGUGUUGAUUUUCAUACAUGUCAUGUCUUAAAGAAAUCCUAUCGAUCAGUUGAAUUAUUCUCUUGAUUUUCUAUUAUGAUGAUUGGGGUUGUUUGGGCCUCGUCGGCCUGUGUUGUUACAAGUUUUGUUCUAUUAGUUGGUUUAUUCAGUCAAGUAGGGUUUUGGCAUCAUUCGCACUUGUUAUAUUCUAGGUGUUUUGAUGAUCCUCACAAAUGAAGGGACCUGGUCCCUGGCAGAGUGCUCUCGUACAGAUUCAAAUGGGGUACAAUUGUAAAGCUGUCCUGUCAAAGGUUGGUGAGGCGUCAGCGUACUACACCAAUCAGAAUGGACAAGUUGUUUGUCCAACGGUCAAUAAUUCUUUAUGGUUGACUUAGUCAACAUGACAAACAACAAAUUAAUUAAUUCAUUCAAAAGGAGAGAGAGCAAGCACGUCUUCUCAAGAACUUACUAAGAAAAGUUUGCAAGGACCUGGUCCCUGCAAGAUUGCGUAUGUGAAAGGACGACAAGACAACUGUCAGAAAAGCUGCCACUUCUGAUGUGGUAGGUGCACGUCUUUCCAGAGAGGCAGGCUCUCAGCCAAUGGACUGUCUCAAGGAGUUUGUGUUCAUUUUGAUAUAAUCUCAAAACACAAAACACAAACUCAAGAUUUGUCAAACAAAAACUUUGGACUUUUCUCUAAAAAUUUAUAAGCUUGAAAAGAGAAGGCCAUAUUCAAGGAAGAACACUGCUCAUAUCAACAAGGGACCUGAUGGAGUGCUGAAGCAUCUUGUUGUAUUUAGAGCUUUGUAUCUUAUGUGCUUAAAUUGUAAAUAUAUUCCUAUGUUAUAAAGGAGUUAGAUUUUUGUUAUGUUCAUCUAAAAGUCUAAGUCAGUUAAGGGUAACUUAUUUAGUGGGCAAUAUUGUAUCUACUUAGUCAAAUUCUAAAUCAUCUAGAAAUAGUUGGUUUAGUAGGCAGUGUUGUAUCUACUUAGUUGAAGUCUAAGUUAUCCAGAGUUAGGUAGCUUAGUGGGCAGUGUGGUAUCUGCUUAGUGGCUUUCUUUGUAGUAGAGUUACUACAUAGAGGGAGAAGGGAUUUAGAGUUAAAUUCCUAGGUUGCAAGAGUUUGUAAUCUGAAUUGUUGCCCCGUUUAAGUGGAAUGGAGUUUGGGUUGAAAUCCUGUGAGUAUAGGUCAUGGUUUUCACCGCCCUUGAGCAAGGGGGUUUCCACAUAAAACUCUUGUGCCUGUUUUACAUUGUGCUAUUCAUUUUCUGCACUGAUCACUGGUGGACGCGUACAUUCCAACAAUUGGUAUCAAAGCGUUGGAUUUUCUAUCUGGUUAACACUAAGAGAACAGAUCCCGAAGGAAUGACGGCUCCACCAAGUCUGGAAGAAGGUCAAUCUACCACACGUCCUCCUCGUUUCAACGACCAGUUCUAUGGGUGGUGGAAGAAAAGAAUGCACGAUUAUAUCAUGGCGGAAGACAGUGAGCUGUGAGAUGUGGUGCUUGAUGGUCCUUAUGUUCCUACCAAGGAUGUAAAAGAGGCUUUUUUUUAGGGGUCCAAAAGGCUAAAAGGUGGAGGAGAUGGAAGCCGAACCUCUAAUCGACUUGUAGGUUAGCAAACUGGUGAAUCAAUAGGCUUUGCUCCUGCCUUCGCUUCCAGGAGGAAGCCCUUCGUUCGGACAGAGUGCAAGACACGUCUCUUUUUUGAGAAAAGGCACCUGAUUUUCCCGAGUCUAGAAGAGAAUAUGAUGAAAUAGACAGAAAAAAGAUCGAGAAAAAUUAUAAAGCCAAAAAGUUGUUGGUAUGUGGAAUAGGAGCAGACGUAUACAACAAAAUUUCGGCCUGUGAAACGACAAAGGAAAUAUGGGACUGCUUGAAGACAACCCAUGAAGGGAAUACUCAAGUUAAGGAGUCUAAGGUUGACAUGUUGACAACUCAGUAUGAAAACAUUAUCAUGAAGAAAGAUGGAAAUAAUCAUGAGAUGCACUCCAGAUUUACGUCUAUUACAAAAGAACUUCGUUGUCUUGGUGAACCCAUUCAUCCAAGCAAGCAAGUUCGAAAAAUCCUUCUAGUUCUUUCCAAAUGAUCAUGGGAAAGCAAAGUGAAUGUCAUCACUAAAGAGAGCGAUUUGAAGACCCUUACAAUGGAUGAGUUGAUAGGCAACUUGCAAACCUAUGAGUUGAACAAACUACAAUAUUCAUCCAAGAAGGAAGGAAACAAAGAAAAACUUGUUGCACCGAAGGCAUCUCAAAAUGAUGCUUCUGAAGAUGAGAAAGAGAUGGCUUAUUUGACUAGAAGGUUUCAAAAAUUGAUCAAAAAGCAUGGAGGAUUUCAGAGAAAGGGGACUCCAGCAGAACAACAAAUGCAAAUGAUAUUUGCCAUAAAUGUGGAAAGCCAGGACAUUUCAUGAGAGAUUGUUCAAGCCCCAAACACGAGUUUCAAGUCUAUGCCAGAGGAGACAAAGAUAAGCGUAGGGACCAGGUCCCUAACUAUGCUAGGCGAAAGGCCAAUGCUAAUCAGGUGGUGAAGAAGGCCUUUGUUGUAUGAGGAAAUCCUUCCAGUGACUCUGAAGCAUAAGCUAUAACCUUACCUCGCAACAUCAACACACAACCAAGGCCGACUCUGGAUGCAUCACAGUAGAUAACAUAACUGUUUGAACCCUCUGGUAGAGUCAAUACAGGAGUUGUAGUCAACCUGGUUUUCAGUUCUGCGAAGAUUUUCUCACAAUCAUCUUACCACUGAAACUUAACCUUUUUUUAGUCAACUUAGUCAAUGGAGAGGCUAUGGAUGAAAAUCCUUCCACGAACCUUCGGUAAUAACCCGCUAGACCCAAGAAACUUAUGAUAUCUUUCGGAGAGGUAGAUCUGGGCCAUUGUUUCACUGGUUCUAUUUUCUGAGAAUCCACUCGGACCCCUUGAUUAGACACUAUAUGCCCAAGGAAAGCAACAGAUUGCAACCAAAACUCACAUCUGCUAAACUUAGCGAAUAACUGGCGGUCUUUGAGAGUUUGCAGGAUAAUUCUCAAAUGAUUCGCAUGUUCUUCAUCAUUCCUAGUGUAAAUGAGGAUAUCAUCAAUAAAAACGAUAACAAAAAGGUCCAGAUAUUGCUUGAAUACUAUGUUCAUCAAGUCCAUGAAAGCUGCAAGAGCAUUGGUUAGUCCAAAUGACAUACCUACAAAUUCAUAAUAACUAUACUGAGUCCUGAAGGCUGUCUUCGGAAUGUCACUAUCUCUGACUCUAAGUUGGUGAUAACCGAAUCUGAGGUAUGUCUUUGAGAAAUGACUAGCACCCUGAAGUUGGUCAAAUAAGUCAUCAAUCCUGGGGAUGGGAUACAUAUUCUUGAUUGUGACCUUGUUCAACUGCCUAUAGUCAAUGCACAUUCUAAGAGAACCAUCGUACUUCUUUACGAACAACACUAGUGCACCCCAUGGGGAAAUAUUGGGUCUGAUGAAGCCCUUAUCUAGAAGGCCUUUCAACUUCUCUUUCAAUUCCUUAAACUCAGCUAGAGCCAUCCUGUAAGGAGGAAUAGAAAUAGGUUGGGUAUCUGGAAGGAGAUCAAUUUCAAAGUCGAUUUCCCUUUCGGGAGGAACUCCAGGAAGAUCUUUUGGGAACACUUUUGGGAACUCAUUGAAUCAAGAGUUGGGGUUUUGGAGCUUUAAUCCUUAACCUGAACUAGAUGAUAGAGAUAACCCUUAGAGAUCAUCUUUCUGGCCUGAAGGUAAGAAAUGAAUCGACCGGUAGGCGCUAAGCUACUACCCUUCCAUUCUAAGAUCGGUUCGUCUAGAAAAUGAAAAUGAACAAUCCUAGUUCUACAAUCGAUUGAGGCAUAACAGUAAUGUAGGAAAUUCAUGCCUAGAAUGAUAUCGAAGUCUACCAUUUCUAACUCUACAAGUUCUACUGAGGUGACUUUCUAGGAGACUGUGACAGGGCAGUUUCUUAUACACAUCUAGCUAUAACUGGGUCACCGACUAGGGUAGAGACUGAGAAGGGUUCUAAGAGAGUUUCUGGACUAACAUAGAAUUUGAAUGCUAUAUAAGAAGUUACAAAGGAAAGUGUAACCCUUGGAUCUAACAAUGCAUAAACAUCAAUGUCAAAGACUCGUAACGUACCAGUGACUACAUCAGGAGAAUCUUCUUGAUCCUGGCGAGCCUGGAGAGCAUAAAACCUAUUUUGGCGCUGACCACCACAUGUACCAGAUGAGUUACCCUGCUGAGUCAAGCGACCUGUUGGUGUUGCUGAAGUUGUGGACUGAGCUUUGCCAUUGUUACCUCCUUGACCUUGUCUAGAAGGACAAUCUUUCAACCUUUGACUAGACUGACCACACCCAAAGCAUCCUUCCUUUCCUAUAAGGCACUCGCCCGGAUAGUUCUUACCACACUUUGGACAAGUUGGGUAGGUUCUGGUGCCUGAAACACUUCGCUGAGACUUAGAGCUUGAUGCCCUCCCUUCCUAAUCAUUUCUGAACAUGGAGGAUGGAACACUAGCUGAUGAAGGUGUUGGAGUUAAAGACUUAUGCUGACUCUACGAGCGAUUCCCACCACCCGAUUUCUGUUGACAAUACUCAUAGUUCCCAGUCCUAGCCUUCUUAUUCUCCUUGUCAUGUUUCCUAAGCUUAUCACCCUCAACCUGCUGAGCAUGAGCCUAGAGAUGUUCAUGUCUCUAAGGAACAUAGCAUUCCUACACUCUGUUUUCACUAGAUCAGAUUCCCUAUACAUGAACUUGUUCAUUUGAGCCCUGGAAUCAGCAACCAUAUGAGGAGCAUACCUGGAGAGUUGGGUAAACUUGAGUCCAUACUCUUGGACAUUCAUGGAACCCUGCCUUAAAUUCAUAAACUCCUGAGCUUUUGCCUCCCUUAACUCUCUUGGGAAGAACUUGUCCGGAAAGGUCUCACUAAAGCAUUCCCAAGUAAUAGGAUAUGUAUUUGUACCCAUGUUCUCUUUCCACUUAGUAUACCAGAUAUGAGCUACAUCCUUAAGCUGGUAAGAUGCCAACUCAACCCGAUCAUUCCCAGUUACCUGCAUCACUCAAAAGAUCUUCUUGACCUCAUCAAUGAAAUUUUGGGGAUCCUUACCAAUAUGUGAUCCUAAGAACUCAGGCGGAUUCAUCCAAACAAAAUCCCGAACUCUAGUUGCAGCUGACCCAACAUUAGCAUUUGCUGGAACUGGAACCUGCUGGUUGUUCUGGUUGGUCACACUCUGAGUCAACAACUAGAUAGCGUUCCUGAAUUCAGCAUUCGAAACUUCCUGAUUUGGGACUUGAGGAGUUGCAUUUGCAUUCCUGGAAUUCUCAUUCCUUGCGUAGGCUCUACAAGGAGGCAUGAUCUGAAAGUGCAUAACGAAGGUUUAGCACAAGGAAUUAGAUCAUACCUUACGCACGAUAAGAGUAACAAAACAAAUUAAAGUUUUCCUAAAACACUUUGCAGGCUCCUUCUCAUUAGAUGUGGUGCACUUCACACCCAUGAAAAGGAAUCUACUUAGUGUGGCUUUUCAGACAUCCUAGGACACUUAAACCUAGUGCUCUGAUACCAAGUUUGUUACAUCUCGAGGCUACCCUUGGACAGGGACAUACUAAAGAUAAACUGAGUAAUAAAACUGUGCGGAAGCUAAAUCAUAUAAAAUCUAAAAUGAUGGGGGGAUACCCGCAUACUGUCUUAAUAUAAGAAAAACUGAGAGUUUCAAUACAAGUGAAAAGUCAAACUCUACGACUAAAGCUGAAACUGACUAUGUCUAAAAUAAAGCCUCUACUGACUAGAAAUGAUGGGACAUGCCCCAGCUAAGUCUAGCAAAACUGAAACUAAAUGACUAAAAUCAAGAAAAUAAUCAUGUCACUAGCCCUCGAAGAAUGAGGACUCACCACUGAUGAUGUUGAACUGAAGAUCAAGAACCAAUCUAUGUGUAAUCUGACUACUGAGGACCUGAACCUACAUCACGAUAAGAUGUAGCGCAUAGUAUGCGUCAAUACUUGGAAGGUACUGAGCAUGUAUGAUAGAAUAAAACUGAACAAUAAUCAUAACUGAAUCAAAGCAUAAAUUUGAGCAAUGAUAAGAUGUAACACAUGAGAAUACACUGAGAAUACUAAAUAUGAAAUACUGAAUGGAAUGACCAAGUUUAUAACAUGCUGAGACUGAAAUAUGAACAAAAACCGAUAACAUGGUCAAUGCAAUUGAGUCUGACUGAACUAAAAGGGAGCUACUAAUAACCGACAUAAAACCACAUGAGCUAAAUAUGGAGUCCGAUGUAUAUGCCCCAUCGAGAGGACCCAGUAUACCCGACCAAAGGUAUAGAGGCAUGCUGGCACGAUCACUAAAAUGAUGCUCACAGAGGGGACUUACAACUUACGGGGAACGUAGUUCUGGGACUAUUCGGGUAUGCUGAACCCUAGUCCACUCGGUAUUAAGCUUCCUAUAUGAUUAAGUAAUUUAACACAUUAUAGAUGAAAUAUUGUAGUACUGGAUAGCUCAAAAUACUAACAUGCAAAAUCUGAGAAUGCAACAUUAAUAUAUUGAUAAUGACAAAUUCCAAACUGAGGCAUGUAUGUAUGAAAAUAUCUGAGUGAUCUGAAGUAGCUAACCUAGCAUGUGUAUUUCAUGAACUAAAGAACUACAUAGCUAGGGUUCUGACUUUAUGAAGGAAACUAUACUAAAACAUGCUAGAAGCCAUGAUAAACUGAUUUGGAAUAUUAAUUAACUAAGUCACAAUAAUCUGCUAUAAUUCUAGAAACCCUGGGUCUAGUUCAUAAUAAGGGAAUCAAGAAUCUGAUUGAAAUCUAGGGACCUAAUGGGUGAAAGGAACCCACUAGUGAAAUUCCACAUACCUGGUGACGAAUUUCACGGAGAAAUAUUUCGAUUUCGGGGCUGGAACUGAUGGAAACUUGUUACGUUCUUGAACUAGGGUUACUCGUCUCUUUCUCCUUUUUCGCUCUAAUUUUCUUAGUUUUUGAUGAAUGAUUUGACUUAGGUAAGUUCUAGUUAUGUUUUCGGGCUAAAACUUAUCAAAACCAUGUAGUUUAGGGGUUAAACGACGUAGUUUAGGUGUCCAACAAAUAGGGGAAAAGACUGAAAUAACCCCACUUAAAAAUCUGACGGGGCUGACCACGGCCACUUUCACAGACCGUGAAAGGGACCAUGGACCGUGGGACCGGUCGUGGUCCUUGGCCAGUGGUUACUGGUCGAGAGGGUCCUGUCCAUAAGCCCUUACCACGCCCCCUGAGGAGGACCAUGGACCGUGAAGGUCCCCGUGGUCCUCACUUGGGCUGAGGUCUGGAGGUUUAGGUUUGGGGGCCUACUGGUUAGGCUUCAUGGACACCCCCACGACCCGUCUUCAGGACCACAGACCGUGAAGGUCCCCGUGGUUCUUACUUGGGCGAGGGGUGUCUGGGGGCUAGGCUUUGGGGCCUACUGGUUGACCCCGACGGAUGCCACCACGGUCCGUCAUCAAGACCACGACCUGUGAAGGCUCCCGUGGUCUGACACCUGGGACUGGUGGAGUUCAACUCCAGACCACGGGCAUGUCAACGGACUAUGGACUCUAUCACGGUCUGUGAACCCUGCCAUGGUUCACUGGUUCAGGUAAGUUUUCUGCAAAUUUUUUCUAGGUCUGGUUUUCGAGGUGUUACAGGUACUCUAUUCCGUAGUAGAGGGUAUUCUAAAAGUUUGGAAAUGACAAGUCUCAGAUUGGUUUGUACGAGCUUACAAGACAACAUGUGGAAUGUUGUACAUGUUGUGGAUACCUUUCAUAGAGUGAAUUUCAAACUUGGUGGAUUUUUAUACCUUGCACUGCUUGCGUAUUGUGCAUUAUAGUUUUUGGUCAGUUGUUGGUUUUCAGAAACAUAGAAUUUCAGCAAGUUAGGUGUACGAGUUGCAGUAGAUCCCGUAAAAGAGGAUAUAGACCAUUCAUGACCAUUCGUGGUUGAGGUCCUGGACUUAGCCUAGUUUCCAGGAUUGACUUCCAUAAGGGAGUAUUACAAGUCGUACAUUAGUUGACAAAUCAUGGAUGGUUCUCAGGUUUUGAGUUCAGAAAGCUGGUCUUCAAUAUUGAUUAUAUGAAGGACCAUUACGGUCAGUAGAAGUGAGUGAGGACCAUACAUGGGGUGCCUAGAUAAGCUCCGACAUUUAUUUUCCAAGGUUAGUUGGGUAUUUUCCUACUCUUUUAGCAAUUAAACUACGUGGUUUCUAGACUAUUCCUAAGCCCUAUAAUUAUUUUUACACUCAAAACCCUCCCUAUUUAAUCUAAAACCCCAAAAGCUCUCACUCUUCUCUCCAAGGAUUCUCUCAAGAUGAUUUCUAGGACUUUUCAUGUACAAGUCUCCUUUUAGGAUUCCAAGGCUAGGGUUCAUCAAGUUAUGUGAGAACUUUAUCAAUGAGUUCCUCUCCACCCAUUGACUGCCAAGAAAACGACAAAAUCUCUUUAUGAUUCCAACCCAAGUUCUAGGGUUUUCAUGAUUCAUGUAUGUGUUUAAUUAGUUUUGUGUUUAAUCAUUAUGCAUGAUCAUAUUAUGGAUGAUUUGAUCAUAAUUAAUGGUUUUAAUGUUCAUUUUCAGGAGCCCAUUCUAUAUAACUGAUUUUGAUUUGAAAUCAAGCUUUGAAGACAUGCAUGCAUUAUGAAUUGAAUGAUUUAUGAAUCAAGAAUGCUUUUAGAUAAAGUAUCAAGCAUGUUUUAUGAAAUUGAAUGCUUCCAAUUGAAUUAAUUCUUAUUAUGAAAGAUUAUCAUGAUUUAAAUUCUUUCAAUUAAGUAUCUCUUACGAAUUGAAUAUGUUAUUAAAUCAUGUUAUUUUAAAGGAGCUAUUCUUAUGAUUAUUAGUCUUCAUGAUUGAAUCGGUAUUACUAAAUUCAUACAAUUUAAAGGACUAUAUGAAUAAGAAUAUGAUAUGAUUAUGUAUAUUUUUCCAUUGAGAGUUUACUUAGCACUAGAUGGACCAUGGGAUGAAGACUCACCCAUUAGUUUUUGGAUUUUGUAUGUGGUGUACGGGUUACGUCCCGACCAUUUCUUUGAUGUACUAGAUUUCUUGUCAAGACUAUGAUUGAUUUCCUCUUAUAAAUGUCAAACUCAUUUAUUCCUAUGAGAUUAUUUAUCUUUGUCUAUUAUAUUGAUUAUAUAUAAGUCAAGUGGCUUGUGUAAGGCCUUUUUGGGUCUUAUACGUUAUGUCACAUCUAGGGUAUACUUUGAGUCUUGAAACACAUGUAGCACUAAUAGUCCUUCAUGUUUCAAGAGUCAUCACACUUUUUGUUUUCUAUCAAACAACCGUCUAAUUUUUAACGGUGAAAUUUGUGCCCCCAUGAGAAAGUCUCAUCUGUUAUAUAACAUAAUACUAUUUCAACCAUUGCUAAUCAAAUCUUCCCAAUCCAUAAUUUCAUAACUUUGAUUUCCAGAAUAAAAAAAUUGAGAUUGGUUAUUGGAUAAGUAAGAAUUAUUCAGAUGCAUCUUGUUACUUUUGAAAAAUCUCUUCUUUUCCUUUUUGUUUUUUGCUCAUGUCCCUUCAAUGGAAGUCUUCGGAAAAAGUAAAACUCCCUGUUUUUAUGAAUGCAAAUAGUUUUCAUUGUCAUCAAGCCUUCAAGUUUAAACUAUUACUUGUUAUUGCUUUUCAUUUAUUUUUUGGGGUAGUUUAAGGGGAAUCUAGUUCUGCUUUUGAGUGCGUUAUAGUGUUGUUUUAGUGUGAUCUGGUGUAAUUUUGGAGUUUGUUUUGAUUUUGUUCUGGUGCAAUUUCAGUGUUGUUUAGGUGCUUUUCUAAUGUUGUUUUGGUGUAGUUUCAGUGCAGAAAAUUUGAUGCUGCUAUUUUGGUGUAAAUUUGGUACUGUUUUGAGGCUUUUCUAGUGCAAUUUUAGUACUUUUUUGGUGCAAUUAUUAUGUCGUUUUAGUGUGAAUCUAGUGCACAACUAAUUUGGUGAAAUUCCUAUGUUGUUUUGGUGUACAAAAAACACUAUUAAAAAUUAAACGAAUGCUUCAGAGAAUAUCAAAAUUGCACCAAUUGUUAAAAUAUGGAGGACUAUUAGUGCUCCAUGAUUAAAAAAAAUAGGAUUACUUUGACUCAUAACUCAAAGAUAUGGGAAAUUUUUUAUCCUUCAAUGUUUUUUUAUAUUUAAUUCCAUUCCAGCGGGCCACAGUGAACAACUAGAAAUUAUGACAUCUCAUUUUAGAUUCUUUAACAAGACUCGUGACAUAACACAAAUAAUAUAGCAAGACAUAAAAUAUUAUUUCCCUAAACCACAUUGUAUAUAGGAUAACUUAUCACACUAAUGUAUAAACCAUUGAGCUUUCUUUUCCUCUCACUUGUCAAAUUUCAGUGUUUGAGAAUCUACCAAAACAUUGAACUAAAAACCCUCUCUAAUUGAUUUUGCCAGAAUUCACCGGUAAUCUAUGAUUGAGGUGAAUUACUCGGUCAAAAACUCCGUCACUUUGCUUAGUUCAUUAAAUACACUUGAAUUUAUCACAUAAAAUUCAUCCUAUGAACUUUCUCAUUUAAAAGUUUUCAAAAUAUCAAAAAAGGCAAAAAAUAAUAAUUAUUUUCUCAUUUUAGGCAAGUAAUUUAAGUGAAGAUUAUGAACUUAGCAUAUCUACAGAGAGAUUUAUUUAUUUAUUUUUAAUCUCCAUUAUUUUUUGUGAUGUGUGUAGCGGUGCUUUUCAUAAUGAGUUUCCAGGUUGAUAGUGAGAUUUUAUUAUUGUCUUAAAUAUUUUUUAUCAGAUUCUCAUAAUUUGUUCUGACUAUUUUAUUUUUAUUUUUCGCUUGGAUUUUUGAAGUGAUAGAUUUUUCGCAUUGAUAGAGCUCGAUAUUAGCCUUUCAGUGUAGGAGUAAUCUUUAAAUACAUGAAAAUGGUAAAGUUUUCAAUUUGAAUUGUCUUAAUAUUUAUGUUGUUGCAUCAACAAUUUUUAAAAAUGUUUUAAGGCUAUGGCAAAAUUAACAAUAAACUUUCUUGUUUUGAUUUAUGUUCCUUUUUUAAAUCUCUAAUAAAUGCUUUGAUCUAUGUGCUUCUUUUUUGUUUUAGACUGUAACGUGUGCUUUGAUUUGGAUUAUUUUUUCAUUUUUCUUGUGUUAUAAGAUUAAUAUUUUAUAUGUUGACGAAUUGAUAUAGUUCACGCUCUAUAUAAUUAACUGACAGUCACUUGUUCAAAUAAAAGUUUUUUUAGUGGUAUUCAUUUCUGCAUAUUGAUUCUUGACAUGGAUAUACUUAGGCUCCUCCUUGAAUUGUAGAGGGUACUUUAUCAAAGGCGAAUCUAGAAUUUUUAGAACGUGCACAACUUAAAAAAAGAAUGGGUAUUAAAUGUUAAAUUUUGUUAGCUAAAAAUUAUUGGGUUCGAUUACUAAACAUGGUAGCUUCAUUCUUUGUAUACAAUCAUUUGUGCUUAUUGAUUAGCCAUUGUCUUCUUCAUCAAUAGAGAUUGGCCAACUCUUUCAAGUUAGGGUUUUUCAUUUAAACUGUAGUAGAAAACCUUUUUUCAAAAAAGCAUAAAAUAUUUGUUACUUUAUAUGCCUUCUCCAAAAAAAGAUUUUUGGUGAAACUCGAAUUGCCUUAAUAAUUUUUUUCUGUACUCUGCAAACUCUUAUGUGAUCUAUCUAGUCUUCCUAGAAUAAGUUCCUUGAGGUGCUUAAUGAUGUUGAUGCUCACACUGAUGGAGAGAUGAGGAGUGAGAAUUCCUUGAGUAUCGAACAGAAGCAUGCUCAUCAAUCUUUAGGCGAUGAAAAUAUGACAUGUGAACGUUUCAUUAAUGUUCCUCAAAAAAAGUUUGUCUCAUCAUGGGAAAGAAGCUAGUGAUCUGAAUGUUAGAAAUAGUGACAAAUUGUUCCCUUUGUCAUAAAAAUUAUCUUCUGACUCAUUUUUGGAAAGAUUAUGAAGAGAUUAUCCUUCUCUUGUGUGAAAAUCUUCAAAUACUAGAGAAGAUAACAUAAAUGUUACAUCUCUAGGACAUGAAAUCAAAAACGUCAAUUCGAUUGGAGAACUCUGCAAAGGGAAAAAAAUCCAUCAAUCCUAUAGACAACACAAUCAACAAUGUGAAUAGUGAUAAGGAUAUUGGUGUUGCCUCUAGGAUCUCAACUUCUUAUAAGAAGGAUGUCAUGGGUGAUUUCUGCAUUGGCAAGCCACGUCAGAGUAAUAGAAGUGUAAUUCCACCUAAAAGGUUGAACGAUUACUUUUGCAAAGGAAAAAAGUGACGCGAGCAAGGCAAGACUUAAUAAUGGAAUUGGUAUACUAGUGUAAGAACGUGGGUAGGAAGGAAUAAGGAAAUACGAAGUACUUUACUACAAGUUUGCCCUGUGUCCAUAAGUGUAACGAUCCAAAAAUGGAUGUGAUGGCACUCGUCUUAUCUCACCAAGACAAGUCAGCCUCAAACCCAACCAUUGCGAUAAAGUGCGGAAAUAAAAUGAAAUUUGAAGUUUAAUAACAAUUAAUAAUG
rnacentral:lncRNA from 1 species